UGGGGAAUAUUGCACAAUGGGGGAAACCCUGAUGCAGCGACGCCGCGUGAAGGAUGAAGUAUUUCGGUAUGUAAACUUCUAUCAGCAGGGAAGAAAAUGACGGUACCUGACUAAGAAGCCCCGGCUAACUACGUGCCAGCAGCCGCGGUAAUACGUAGGGGGCAAGCGUUAUCCGGAUUUACUGGGUGUAAAGGGAGCGUAGACGGCAUGGCAAGUCUGAUGUGAAAACCCGGGGCUCAACCCCGGGACUGCAUUGGAAACUGUCAGGCUAGAGUGUCGGAGAGGCAAGUGGAAUUCCUAGUG
rnacentral:rRNA from 1 species